CCUGCAGGGCCCAGGCUCAUGUGCAGGAAGCCCUGACUCUGGGCACAGCGGCCCCACAGGCCUGGCCCCAGCCCAGCCCCACCCCUCCAGCCAUGCCAGGGGCGUUGCUGGGCAGCCUGGGCACUGCCAGCCAGGCCCAGCCUCCAUAAAGCCCUGGCGGCCGGGGUCUGGGGCCAGCAGGAUGGAGCGCAGACUCGUGUCCUCUGUCCGUCGCUCCUAUGCUUCCUCCUCCUCGGAGACAGUGGCUAGGGGCCUGCGGGCCGUGCGCCGCCUGGGUCCAGACCCCCGCCCUGCCCCGGCCUGGGUGUCCCCUCCGCUCCCGGCCCGGCUGGACUUCUCGCUGGCUGGGGCUCUCAACACUGGCUUCAAGCAGACACGGGCCAGCGAGCGGGCCCAGAUGAUGGAGCUCAAUGACCGGUUUGCCAGCUACAUCGAAAAGGUCCGGUUCCUGGAGCAGCAGAACAAGGCCCUGGCUGCUGAGCUGAACCAGCUGCGGGCUGCAGAGCCCACCCGGCUGGCCGACGUCUACCAGGCCGAGCUCCAGGAGCUGCGGCUGCGGCUGGACCAGCUCAUGGCAGGCAGCGCCCGGGUGGAGGUGGAGCGCGACAACCUGGCCCUGGACCUGGGCGCCCUGCAGCAGAAGCUCCAGGAUGAAGCCACCCUGAGGCUGCAGGCCGAGAACAGCCUGGCCAGCUACAGACAGGAGGCCGACGACGCCACCCUGGCCCAUCUGGACCUGGAGAGGAAAAUCGAGUCUCUGGAGGAGGAGAUCCGGUUCCUGGGGAAGAUCCAUGAGGAGGAGGUUCGGGAGCUCCAGGAGCAGCUGGCCAAGCAGCAGGUCCACGUGGAGAUGGACGUGGCUAAGCCCGACCUCACGGCGGCCCUGAGGGAGAUCCGCACGCAGUAUGCGGCCGCGGCCUCCAGUAACAUGCAGGAGGCAGAGGAGUGGUACCGCUCCAAGUUCACCGACCUCACGGACGCCGCUGCCCGAAAUGCUGAGCUGCUGCGCCAGGCCAAGCAUGAGGCCAGCGACUACCGGCGCCAGCUGCAGGCCCUGACCUGUGACCUGGAGUCCCUUCGGGGCACGAACGAGUCCCUAGAGCGGCAGAUGCGCGAGCAGGAGGAGCGCCACUCGAGAGAGGCUUCCACCUACCAGGAGGCGCUGGCCCGGCUGGAGGAGGAAGGCCGGGGCCUCAAGGAGCAGAUGGCCCGGCACCUGCAGGAGUACCAGGAGCUGCUCAACGUCAAGCUGGCCCUGGACAUGGAGAUUGCCACCUACCGGAAGCUGCUGGAGGGCGAGGAGAACCGCAUCACCAUUCCCGUGCAGACUUUCUCCAACCUGCAGAUCCGAGGAGGCAAAGGCACCACAAAAGGGGAGGUCCGCAAGGUCACCAGAUACCUCAAAAGCCUCACCAUGCGAGUUAUCCCAGUGCAGGCCCCGCAGAGUGUAGGCAGAGCCACCGGCUCUCGGUUAGCUGCCCCUUGCAGCUGGAGAGGAGUGGGGCUCGGGGCCACGCUCCUGGUCCCCCAGCCCCCUCCCAGGUGUCCCUUAGAGGACCAGGACAGAGUCACGGUUCCCAGGAACCGCGUGACCAGCCAGGACCCAGCCCAGGCAACUGUAGUGUCGCCUCGAAGGCCUGGUCACUGUGAACGUGGUCCUGCUGGGUGCCCGACGAGCAGCUCACGGGCCAGGAGCGAGCGCCAGCCCGGCCUCCUCCUGUGUGGUGGGGAGCCCAGGCCACCUGGCUCUGCUGUGUCCGCCCGGCGGCCAAGGUGCUCAGGCCGGGCCCACUCAGCCUGGCAGGUUGCUCCCCUCCAGCUGCGGCUCUCACAGGAACAAAGCUUCCUGUCCCUGCUCUUAGCUGCAAAUGUCACUGACAGUGACUUGUAUUUUCCUCUCAAGGAGGGGCUGCGGCUAAAUUAUGUUUGAUUGUUCUGCGGCCCUCAAACAUUCCCAUCUUUGGGGAUGGAGUAUUCAGGACCAGAGGCAGGCAAGCCAGGACCUAGCUCAGUACCAAGUCCAGCCGGUUGGCCAGGCAGGCAACACCGCCACACGACACCAGGGGUCACCAGGCCCAGGCGAGCGAUGGGGGCAUAGGAAGGAGCUGAGUGCUCAGUGCCCCUCACUCCCCUAGGCGAGCGGGCACUGCCAUCUCUGUGGCCAGGGAGGAAGCCAAGGCUGGGUGGGGUCACAGGGCUGGUGAGUGGGCACAGGCUCCCAUGCACCAGAUCUCCAAGGCCGCUGCUCUGCCCUGUGCACUGGGCUGUCAGGUGCCAGGGCUGGGAACAGCAGCGCAAUGACAGCAGUGGAGGGGCCGCCGGGUGCAGGAGCAGCUGCCUGGGGUCCUAAGAGCCCAUGGAGGCCUCCCCUCUGCCCGCAGAGACCAGCGUGGACACGAAGUCCGUGUUGGAAGGCCACCUCAGGAGGAACAUCGUGCUCAAGACAGUGGAGAUGCGUGACGGGGAGGUGAGCAGCCCCGCCCCGGCCCUGCCAGCUGGGCUGUCUCACCCUCAGGUCACUCAGGAGUCCAAGCAGGAGCACAAGGACGCCAUGUGAGCCAAGCGCUGAGGGCUGCCCCCCGCUCCACUGCCCAGGCCUGCCUGGCUGGCCACCUCCAGCCUCCUGGCCCUAUCCUGCUGGUUGCUCUGUCACACUAGGCCUGCGCAGCAUGCAGCACCCCGCACCCCGCUCUGCAAACUAACAGGCGCCCUUCCCAUGGGGCAGUCGGAGGGACGGGGCCAGUGGCUUGGUUAGAAAGUGGGCGGGCAGAGACACAG